UCGGUGCCGCAGCUAACGCAUUAAGUACUCCGCCUGGGAAGUACGUCGCAAGAGUGAAACUCAAAGGGAUUGACGGGGACCCGAACACGUAGCGGAGCAUGUGGUUUAAUUCGAGGCAACGCGAAGAGCCUUGCCUAAGCUUGACAGCCCAAUGACAUCUCCUUAAUCGGAGAGUUCCCUUCGGGGACAUUGAUGACAGGUGGUGCAUGGUUGUCGUCAGCUCAUGUCGUGAGAUGUUGGGUUAAGUCCCGCAAC
rnacentral:rRNA from 1 species